rnacentral:rRNA from 1 species
CCUACGGGAGGCUGCAGUGAGGAAUAUUGGUCAAUGGGCGCGAGCCUGAACCAGCCAAGUAGCGUGAAGGAUGACUGCCCUACGGGUUGUAAACUUCUUUUAUAAAGGAAUAAAGUGAGGCACGUGUGCCUUUUUGUAUGUACUUUAUGAAUAAGGAUCGGCUAACUCCGUGCCAGCAGCCGCGGGAAGACAGAGGAUCCGAGCGUUAUCCGGAUGUAGUGGGUUUAAAGGGAGCGUAGAUGGGUUGUUAAGUCAGUUGUGAAAGGUUGCGGCUCAACCGUAAAAUUGCAAUUGAUACUGGCAGUCUUGAGUACAGUUGAGGUAGGCGGAAUUCGUGGUGUAGCGAUGAAAUGCUUAGAUAUCACGAAGAACUCCGAUUGCGAAGGCAGCUUACUAAACUGCCACUGACAUUGAUGCUCGAAAGUGUGGGUAUCAAACAGGAUUAGAUACCCCUGUAGUC